GUUUUUAGAAAUACAUUUAAGAAAAAAUACGUUUAAAAUUGGUCAUUUUAGUCAGGCAAUACGCUUCGUGUCACAGUUCAUUGUUUUGAGUUUUUUUGUGCGCGCUUGUUGUGAAUUGCUUCUAACGUUACUUGUGCUGUGUAUAGGCUACAAAAUUAAAACAUUUAUUGAUUUUAAUUAUUUAUACAGACAGUAUCACAGAUAUUCUGGCGUUUAUUAGGUAUCAUGUGGCACUGAAGCCUUUUAAAAAACAUAAAAAAGAUUGUAGCUGCAUGUAAUUUACCAACAAAAAGUCCACAUUAGUGUAUUUAGUGAAUCAUGGAGCACAAUGGACUGCAGUCCAGUAACGCUUGUCAGACACAUCUGAAAUGGGUUAAUGGAUUCACUGAGACGUCGCCCAUCUGUUUACCCAGCAAACGUAAACGAAAUGAUGUGAAUACGGUAAAUGGCCACGAAGAGGAUGGUCCUAAGGGUUUUCCCUCCAAAGAGAGCUUGAGGAAACGUGGUUUUGUCUUGAUUGACGGCCAGAGAGGUGUGUUCUACUCUGAAAGCUGGGAGCCCAAUGGCAGCACUUUAUACCUGCCUGUAAAUGGCACUUUGUUAGCCAACAUUGAAAAAUAUGAUCAGAUCAGCUUUGAGCAGGGCUGCUUCUGCAUUGGCAAUGCAGCAGGUGGAUUUCAACAGAAAGUCCAAGGUCAAGCGAUCCAUUGCUGGCGAUAUAGUGAACGUGAGCGAAAGCUUUUCAUUGCACUUUCUUACUUGUUCACAAACUUACAAGUGUUCCAGGAAGUCGUUAGCACUCUUGAUUGUCUCUGAGGAUUCUGAGUACACACAGUGCCAUCCAAACUAAAAAGCAUAGACCAAUCGUGUUUUUUUUAGUGUAGCCUAGACAUUCCUCUUCUUUGUUACAAUGUCUUUUUUAAACAUCAUUUUACAUAUUGUGAUAAUCAGUUGAAAUAUACAGUAUGUGCCUUUUUGACACAUUAGUGCAUUUCUGUUCUCUGCUGUUACUGCACUUUCACAGUUAGUCAACGAUCAAAGAUAUCAGCCAUGUUUGAUAUCUAAAAAGUGUAUUUAGAUAAGCAAUGACAUUAUGUUCCAUAAAUGUGCAUGACAAACAAUAUUGUAAGCGAUCUUGAAGCCUCUGUUAUUGCUGUGAACCAAAACAUGACAUGAAAACACUGUAUUUUAGAUGCCUUUCAAGCUUGUUGCUGAUUUUGUGCACAUAAUUUGUACUCUAAAAAUGUUUGUACUGCUAUAUUGCUGUUGUAUGUGUUUAAGCUUUGCUUUUUAGUGACUUUUUAUAUAUUUUUUUUACUAUAAAAUGGAAGAAUAAAUCCAUUCAAUCUGUUGCUGUUUCUUUAAAA
ensembl:lncRNA